rnacentral:rRNA from 1 species
GUCUAUGGCUAUACCACCCUGAACAUGCUUGAUCUCGCCUGAUCUCAGAAGCUAAGUAGGGUUGGGCCUGCUUAGUACUUGGAUGGGAGACAUAAAGAACAAUGAAACAGAACUGAAAAAC